ACAAAUGUUUUGAUUGGGAAAAGUAGUGUUUUGGGGUAGUUACAGAGAGCUGUUGUUUGGUGGAAAACAGUACUAGGAUAAACAUGAAAAUCACCCAUGAACAGUCUACUGAAAGAAUAAUCAAGUAAGUAAGAACGGAUUGACACUCGUUAUUGUGUUCGGCAUUGGAAGGAUUUUUAUCUGGAGAUGUUUGAGGGGUUAUGAAAAUAACAAUUAGAGUGGUACCGCAGAAUAUAAGUUUUGUCUCUUAA
rnacentral:ncRNA from 1 species